AAAGAGGAGGAGUUUCACAUUCAUUUGAGAUGAUCUUGUUACAUUUUCUGUCACAAAGCUCAGUCCUGCUGCAGUGACACACACAUGUACAAUGAUACUUCAUUCAGUCAUUCUGCUCUCUGCCUUGACAUGUGUGAGUUUUGGAGAUGAAAUCACAGCAGACAGCACUGAGGAAUCUGCUGCAGUGGGUUCAACUGUUACUUUAUCCUGCAGUUAUUCCUCUGCAAAUACACUUCAGUGGUACCGUCAGUAUCCCGGAUCAGCUCCUCAAUUUCUUGUGCUUAUAAUAGAGAGUGUGAAAGAGACUAUGACAUCUGAUGUAGAUCCCAGAUUCUCUACUAAACUCAGAAAAGAAACACAAUCCACAAAAGAAAUCAAACGUGUGGAUCUGAUGAUCUCCUCUGCAUCUAUAUCAGACUCUGCUCUGUACUACUGCGCUCUGACGCCCACAGUGACAGGAAACACAAGAACACUGUACAAAAACCUGACACAGAUGAAGGUGUAUGUUACAGCCUAUUUUAACAGGGUGAGACGCGAACGAGUGAUGUUACCAGGAUUCGGCCACAGCCAACAGAUCACCAAAACAACACAUACAUUUAAAUGA